UGACCGAUAGUGAACCAGUACCGUGAGGGAAAGGCGAAAAGAACCCCGGCGAGGGGAGUGAAAAAGAACCUGAAACCGUGUACGUACAAGCAGUGGGAGCAUGCUUAGGCGUGUGACUGCGUACCUUUUGUAUAAUGGGUCAGCGACUUAUAUUCUGUAGCAAGGUUAACCGAAUAGGGGAGCCGAAGGGAAACCGAGUCUUAACUGGGCGUUAAGUUGCAGGGUAUAGACCCGAAACCCGGUGAUCUAGCCAUGGGCAGGUUGAAGGUUGGGUAACACUAACUGGAGGACCGAACCGACUAAUGUUGAAAAAUUAGCGGAUGACUUGUGGCUGGGGGUGAAAGGCCAAUCAAACCGGGAGAUAGCUGGUUCUCCCCGAAAGCUAUUUAGGUAGCGCCUCGUGAAUUCAUCUCCGGGGGUAGAGCACUGUUUCGGCAAGGGGGUCAUCCCGACUUACCAACCCGAUGCAAACUGCGAAUACCGGAGAAUGUUAUCACGGGAGACACACGGCGGGUGCUAACGUCCGUCGUGAAGAGGGAAACAACCCAGACCGCCAGCUAAGGUCCCAAAGUCAUGGUUAAGUGGGAAACGAUGUGGGAAGGCCCAGACAGCCAGGAUGUUGGCUUAGAAGCAGCCAUCAUUUAAAGAAAGCGUAAUAGCUCACUGGUCGAGUCGGCCUGCGCGGAAGAUGUAACGGGGCUAAACCAUGCAC
rnacentral:rRNA from 1 species